rnacentral:lncRNA from 1 species
AGAUGGCUCUGGCCCUGUGUGGAGAAUGGGUUGAAGGAACACAGACGCAGCAGCAGAACCGGUUGACAGGUGAAGAGACCUCUUUCAGGCAGAGGGAACAAAAUAAGCCACAGUCCUCAUCCUUGAACCAGGUGAGAACUUCUAGCUUACUGGGUAAAGUCCAAUUAACGUGGUGCAGAAUUCCAUCCAUGGCAGGGCUCCUGCUGUCUCCAGCCUCAUCUCCAGGCACACCCUGCACCCUUGAGAAGACAAUGCUUCCGUGUCCACCAGUUCAUUCCUUCCAGACACAUCCCAGUGGUGUCUAGCUCAGGUCUCAGCUCCUGGAAAGGGACAAGGACGCCCCAGAGUCUGCUUUUUUGACACUUACCUUCUGGUCCCCCUGAAAAAUCAUGCUGCAUCACGCCUGCACAUUGUCCUUUCUGCGGAAAUGUCCUGUCUCCCCAUCUCUAUCUGCCAAAGACCCACGCAUAAUGCAAACAAUUCAGGUUUCACCCUUUGCAGUGAACUUUGUACAGCUCUCCCAGGUUGCCCUUGCUAAGCUAGACCCAGGCAAAAGACAAACCCCAGAGCAACAGUGCGAGGCGGUGCUCCACGCUCCAUCUCAGAGCAGAGCAACCUUAGGACCCCAUUUCAGAAUCCCCUCAAUGAAGUGUAUGGUGGAAGGGCCUGAUUCGUGUCAUGAGAGGUAACAACACCACUACCAACAUCCUGCUUCUCGUCCCCCAGCCCCUGCAAGGGUGCAGUGUGGCUACAGGGGGUGUCUCUGCAGUGAUUCCUCCCUUUACAGGGAAUGAGUCAGGUCCUCUGAAGAAAAGGUGUAAAAAGAAAAAAGAGUGUGUUGUCAAUACUUCAAAGCCUCAGCCAGCAUCAUCUGAUCUAGGAAAGGUGUGAUGGGGUAGGAUAAUCGAUCGCUGCUUAAUUUCCACUGGUUUCUGCAGGGUGCAGACCAGGAAAUUAGACAUUGGGCCUUCCCAGCAGGUCAAGAAACCCAUGUCAGAUACAGCAAAAUCAGCCUCUGUGGCCAGGGGACAGAGGCGUGUGGCGUCUACAAGAAACAAAGAACACAAAGGUUUCCAAGACCAUACUCUGAAAUCUCUGCUCCUUAGAACAGACUCUAAGCUACUACAGAAAAACCACAAGGAAGUUUUCCAUCUGCUUUUUUCCCCUAGUAUCUUCUCCCUAUCUCAAAAACAAAAAAACAAAACAAAACAAAACUUUAAAAAUCCAUGAAGCAUUAGCUAUUUUUAGAAAUUUUAACUUUUCUAUUAUCUAACAAUACAUAUUUCCUGAGCAUUUUAAGUCCAUUUUAAUUUUGUGUACUAUUUAAUGGUAAAUCGUGGUAUAUAUCCUCAACAUAAUACUUCAUAUCCUUGCAGUCCGAUUAUUCAGUCAGCCUUCACUUCUUCAGAUUAAACAAUAUAACUUCAAUUUGCAUAUGUUCUCCAGGUUAUUGCAAAAUAAACCUGUUUCAGUGCAUUUGAAGUAUAGAACAGUGAUCAUUUUAAAUCACACUCAAUUGCCCAGCUUUUCAUUUGAAUAAAAUUCAGGUACCGUUUAGUUCACAAAGAUAAUUUUACUUCAAGAUUUACAGUCGUGCCUCUCAUCUAAAGCAAUCUUCCUCACCCUCUCCCCGGCACUAUUUCUCACCAGCCCUCAAACCCACAAGGCCUCAUUCAAAAAUGAUGAAUCAAGAAGAAAAUAUAAUGUAAAUAGCUGCUGUAUUAGAAAAAUGCACUGGGAAUCUUUGAAAGCCAGGGAGAAUAUAUUAAUAUUCUAUAUUUCUUUUAUCAUACCAAAAAAAAAAAAAAAGGCAGGCUAUGCCUUAGAGCAAGGCUGCAACAGUGUGUCCCAUGUAGGAAAGAUAUUUGCAAGGCCGUCUGGCCUAAAUGCUCACCAUUAACCAAAGCAGGAGCUCUGGGAAGCUCCUGGGAAGUCCAGCCAUGUGGGGCCACCAAAACAUAAUGGAAAAUGCCCACCACACACUACACGCUUCUUCAUUACAUUGGCUCAAUACUGAGAAUGACCGCACAGGACAGCCCUCUUGCAUGACACUAAGGUUUUGUAGGUGAACUGCCACCUGUUAGAUUUCCACUUCCUUUGUUCUCCUACAGUGAGGUCUUUGUCCUGAGUUGAGGGGAGGACAGAUUUUGGUGGGAAGAUGAUCUGAGUUUAAAGGGGCUCUGAGAGAUCCACAUGCAGCUGUCUAGUAGGUUAAUGGGAAUACCCAUCCAACACUCUGGAAAGAGGUCCUUGCUGGAGAUGGAAAUCUAGGGUCCUUCACAUUGGCAUGGUUGUUGGAACCACGGCUGGGUCAGAGUUGUUGAGGAGCACAGACCUCUGAAGGGGGAAGAACAAGGAACCUUGGGAGCACCGAUAAUUGCUGGAUACACGAGCUCUGCGACAGGAAGGCAAGCAUAAGGCUGUCAUGCCAUAAAAACUAAGGCAAGAGAGAGUUUCCAUGCGAGGGAGGGGUCACACGAACUGAAUACAGUCCAAAGGACUGUAGGCAGUGGAUGAUACUAUUUAGGAGGUCUAAAUAUAGCUCUAGUAAUCUCAGCAAGAAUAAGUUACAAUGAAACAAUUACGGGUAAGGGAGAAGCUAGCUAGAUUUCACUGGCCGUGGAGUCUAGGUCUAUGCCCAAGAGAGAUGCAUGAAAUGUUUUACUGGUUUCUGCAAAUAAGCCAGACCAAGGGAGAAACAGACCUUCAGCAAGUAGUAACCAAAUGCAAGUUUUGAGAAUGUGGAGGGAGAGGAGGUUCUGCCCCUGCAAACUGGGCAGUGCAUCCAAGGUCUCCUGCUAACAUCUGUCACUCAUCGGAGCCACCUGAUCUGAAGCGUUGUCAGGGUCAGUAUUUUUGUUCUGCCUGCUGUUUUGCUAAUGGAUCAAUGGCAGUCAGUAAAGAACAAACCGUGCCAGAAAAGAAUGUCCUCUUCUUCUCAGCUGACUCAGCUCGGGACAGGAAGACAGGGGGCAUCUGGCAUUUGGGGAAGCCCUUGAUUGUCCCUUAGGAAAUAACUGAAAAUGGAUUUGUGUUGGCCUGGUUCUAAGAAGGUCACCCAGGUUGAAUUUGAAAAGCAGAGGCACUGUGUCCACAAAAGAAAGUGAUAAGCAGCAAGCCAUUUCUCAAAGCUAAUGCCCGAGUGUGUACCACCGGGAUCC